GACGAACGCUGGCGGCGUGCCUAAUACAUGCAAGUAGAACGCUGAAGCGAGGAGCUUGCUCUUGUUGGAUGAGUUGCGCACGGGUGAGUAACGCGGAGGUAACCUGCCUUGUAGGGGGGGAUAAGUAGUGGAAACGAUAGCUAAUACCGCAUAACAAUGGAUGAAACAUGUCGACUAUCUGAAAGGGGCCAUUGCUCCACGACAAGAUGGGCCUGCGUUGUAUUAGCUAGUAGGUGAGGUCAUGGCGCAGCUAGGCGACGGUACAUAGACGACCUGGGAGGGUGGUCGGCCACACUGGGACUGGGACACGGCCCAGAAUCCCUCCGGGGGCAGCAGUAGGGAAACUUCGGCAAUUGGGGCAACCCUGACCGAGCAACGCCGCGGGGGUGAAGAAGGGCUUCCGAUCGUAAAGGUCUGUUGUACGUGAAGAACGGCUGUGGCAGUGGAAAGUUCACACUGUGACGGUAGCGUAACAGAAAGGGCCGGCUAACUACGUG
rnacentral:rRNA from 1 species